rnacentral:rRNA from 1 species
AACGAACGCUGGCGGCAUGCCUAACACAUGCAAGUCGAACGAGACCUUCGGGUCUAGGGGCGCACGUGUGCGUAACGCGUGGGAACCUGCCUUUAGGUUCGGUAUAACUCAGAGAAAUUUGAGCUAAUACCGGUUGAUGUCUUCGGACCAAAGAUGUAUCGCGUUUAGAUGGGCGCUCGUUGGUUUAGGUGGUUGGUGGGGUAAAGGCAUACCAAGGGGACGAUGCAUAGCUGGUCUGAGAGGAUGACAAGCCACACUGGGAAUGAGACACGGCCUAGAAUCCUACGGGAGGCAGCAGUGGGGAAUAUUGGACAAUGGACGAAAGUCUAAUCAAGCAAUGCCGCGUGAGAGAUGAAGGCCUUAGGGUUGUAAAGCUCUCUUACACGAGAUGAUAAUGACAGUAUCGGGAGAAUAAGCACCGGCUAACUACGUG